CGGGGUGCAGCAGGCGCGAAAACUUUACAAUGCGGGAAACCGUGAUAAGGGGACACCGAGUGUCAGCAUCAUAUGCUGGCUGUCCAGGUGUGUAAAAUACAUCUGUUAGCAAGGGCCGGGCAAGACCGGUGCCAGCCGCCGCGGUAACACCGGCGGCCCGAGUGGUGGUCGUGAUUAUUGGGUCUAAAGGGUCCGUAGCCGGUUUGGUCAGUCCUCCGGGAAAUCUGAUAGCUCAACUAUUAGGCUAUCGGGGGAUACUACCAGACUUGGAACCGGGAGAGGUAAGAGGUACUACAGGGGUAGGAGUGAAAUCUUGUAAUCCCUGUGGGACCACCUGUGGCGAAGGCGUCUUACCAGAACGGGUUCGACGGUGAGGGACGAAAGCUGGGGGCACGAACCGGAUUAGAUACCCGGGUAGUCCCAGCCGUAAACGAUGCUCGCUAGGUGUCAGGCAUGGCGCGACCGUGUCUGGUGCCGCAGGGAAGCCGUGAAGCGAGCCACCUGGGAAGUACGGCCGCAAGGCUGAAACUUAAAGGAAUUGGCGGGGGAGCACAAG
rnacentral:rRNA from 1 species